GAGGGCGUAGCUCAGUCGGCAGAGCACCUGCCUUUUAAGCAGGUGGUCCUGGGUUCGAGUCCCAGCGCCCUCA
rnacentral:tRNA from 4 species